rnacentral:rRNA from 1 species
CCCUUAGAUGUUCUGGGCCGCACGCGUGCUACACUGAGUGGAUCAGCGGGUCAGGUUGCACGAAAGUGUUUCCUAAUCUUUAAAUCCGCUCGUGAUGGGGAUUGACGGUUGCAAUUUUCCGUCAUGAACGAGGAAUACCUUGUAAGCGCGGGUCAUCAUCCCGCGCUGAAUACGUCCCUGCCCUUUGUACACACCGCCCGUCGCUCCUACCGAUUGAGUGGUCCGGUGAGGCUUUGGGAUCUGAGCGGAAAGAGCGUUUCGCUGUUUCUGCCCGGAAAACUCAGUCGAACCUUAUCAUUUAGAGGAAGGAGAAGUCGUAACA